rnacentral:rRNA from 1 species
UACGUAGGGUGCGAGCGUUGUCCGGAAUUACUGGGCGUAAAGAGCUCGUAGGUGGUUUGUCGCGUUGUCCGUGAAAACUCACAACUCAAUUGUGGGCGUGCGGGCGAUACGGGCAGACUGGAGUACUGCAGGGGAGACUGGAAUUCCUGGUGUAGCGGUGGAAUGCGCAGAUAUCGGGAGGAACACCAAUUGCGAAGGCAGCUUGCUGGGACGAUACUGACGCUGAGGCGCGAAAGCGUGGGGAGCAAACAGG